rnacentral:rRNA from 1 species
GACGAACGCUGGCGGCGUGCCUAAUACAUGCAAGUAGAACGCUGAAGCUUGGUGCUUGCACCGAGCGGAUGAGUUGCGAACGGGUGAGUAACGCGUAGGUAACCUGCCUGGUAGCGGGGGAUAACUAUUGGAAACGAUAGCUAAUACCGCAUAAUAGUAGAUGUUGCAUGACAUUUGCUUAAAAGGUGCAAUUGCAUCACUACCAGAUGGACCUGCGUUGUAUUAGCUAGUUGGUGAGGUAACGGCUCACCAAGGCAACGAUACAUAGCCGACCUGAGAGGGUGAUCGGCCACACUGGGACUGAGACACGGCCCAGACUCCUACGGGAGGCAGCAGUAGGGAAUCUUCGGCAAUGGACGGAAGUCUGACCGAGCAACGCCGCGGGAGUGAAGAAGGUUUUCGGAUCGUAAAGCUCUGUUGUAAGAGAAGAACGAGUGUGAGAGUGGAAAGUUCACACUGUGACGGUAUCUUACCAGAAAGGGACGGCUAACUACGUG